rnacentral:rRNA from 1 species
CCUACGGGAGGCAGCAGUGAGGAAUAUUGGUCAAUGGACGGAAGUCUGCACCAGCCAUGCCGCGUGCAGGAAGACGGCUCUAUGAGUUGUAAACUGCUUUUGUACAAGGGUAAACCUGAAUACGUGUAUUCAGCUGAAAGUACUGUACGAAUAAGGAUCGGCUAACUCCGUGCCAGCAGCCGCGGUAAUACGGAGGAUCCAAGCGUUAUCCGGAUUUAUUGUGUUUAAAGGGUGCGUAGGCGGAUUGAUAAGUUAGAGGUGAAAUGUCCGAGCUUAACUCGGGAACUGCCUCUAAUACUGUUGAUCUAGAGAGUAGAUGCGGUAGGCGGAAGGUAUGGUGUAGCGGUGAAAUGCUUAGAGAUCAUACAGAACACCGAGUGCGAAGGCAGCUUACCAAUCUAUAUCGGACGUUGAGGCACGAAAGCGUGGGGAGCAAACAGGAUUAGAUACCCGGGUAGUC